rnacentral:snoRNA from 1 species
UUUCUUCUUAAAAAAAUAGCACCUGGACUCCUGUUCUUACACUGAGUGCAUAGAAAAAGGGAAGAGGAGGCCUACCACACAUACACCUCAGCACAGCCCUGUGCCUGGUAUUGUGAAUGGGGAGGAACAA